UUUGGCGACUAAAAUAAUUUGGUCGCAAUUUAUAAAACUACAUCCUUUUGAUGGUUCUGUAACUAAAUUGAAGGAAAUUACUGACCAAAUAGUUUUGUAGGGGAAAAUUGCCCAAUAUCACUAGAGUGAAUUUUUAAAACUCUUUAUGUUGUAUGUACUGCGCACCAGUCCCGCGCAUCACUCCUCAUAGGCACGCACCUCAUUGUCGAUUCUCUUGCUUAAUUUCAGUCACCAAAGUCACUUCUCCUUCGUCAUCACAGUUGCCGGCGUCGCUUCUUCAAGCAAGCAUCAGCAGUGCUUCGAGAAGUUAACGGCUUCCUUUGUUAUCACCACCAUCACCAUUUUUUUGGCACUAGCAGUUCGCCUAUCUUCAAACAGCCCCGAGAUCAGAAGAGAAGGGUGUGAUGAAUCUGAUUCCAGCAUCGUGGAAGAUACAAUGGGAUGUGUGGGAAGUUCAGAUGCUGGUUCUACUUAGUCUUACUUUACAAAUCAUUCUUUUCGUCUUUGGUAAACGGAGAAAGAAUAUAUCGUCACAAUGGAUUAAUGUGAUUGUUUGGUUGGCCUACAUAAUGGCCGAUUGGGUGGCAACUGUUGCCCUUGGCAAGCUCUCCCGUACCCUAAAUAAUAUUCCUAAUCCCAAUAAUGCAUUACAGGCAUUAUGGGCACCCUUGCUUUUAUUGCAUCUUGGUGGCCCAGAUACCAUAACUGCUUAUUCUUUGAAUGAUAAUCAAUUGUGGAUAAGGCAUAUUUUGGGCAUGGGUGUUCAAGCUACGGUGGCAAUUUAUGUCAUUGUUAUGUCUUGGAGGCAUUUCUGGUUUUCAUUUAUGUUAAUUCCGGCAUUCGUGGCUGGAAUUAUUAAGUAUGGGGAGAGGACAUGGGCUCUUAAGUUAGCAUGCUAUGAUGAAUCAGAAAACAUUGUACCCUUUUAUGAUCUAAGAGUCCCAGAUGGU